UACGUAGGGUGCAAGCGUUGUCCGGAAUUACUGGGCGUAAAGAGCUCGUAGGUGGUUUGUCGCGUUGUUCGUGAAAACUCACAGCUUAACUGUGGGCGUGCGGGCGAUACGGGCAGACUGGAGUACUGCAGGGGAGACUGGAAUUCCUGGUGUAGCGGUGGAAUGCGCAGAUAUCAGGAGGAACACCGGUGGCGAAGGCGGGUCUCUGGGCAGUAACUGACGUGGAGGAGCGAAAGCAUGGGGAGCGAA
rnacentral:rRNA from 1 species